AAGGGAGUAAAGUUUAAUNCNUCUUGUUCCAUUGNCCGNUCACCCGCAGNAGAAGCACCUGCUAAACUCCCGUGCCAGCAGCCGGCGGUANUACGGGAGGGGUGCAAGCGUUCAUAGGAAUUACUGGGCGUAAAGCGCACGCAGGCGGUUUGUUAAGUCAGAUGUGAAUCCCGCGCCUCAACGCGGNAACUGCAUGUGAUACGGCAAGCUGAGUCUCGUAGAGGGGGGUAGAAUUCCAGGUGCAGCGCUGAAUUGAGUAGAGAUCGGGAGGAAUACCGGUGGCGAAGGCGNCCCCCUGGACGAAGACUGACGCUCAGGUGCGAAAGCGUGGGGAGCAAACAGGAUCAGAUACCCUGGUAGUCCACGCCGUAAACGAUGUCGACUUGGAGGUUGUCCCCGUGAGGCGUGGCUUCCGGAGNUAACGCGUUAAGUCGACCGCCUGGGGAGUACGGCCGCAAGGUUAAAACUCAAAUGAAUUGACGGGGGCCCGCACAAGCGGUGGAGCAUGUGGUUUAAUUCGAUGCAACGCGAAGAACCUUACCUGGUCUUGACAUCCACGGAAGUUUUNAGAGAUGAGAAUGUGCCUUCGGGAACCGUGAGACAGGUGCUGCAUGGCUGUCGUCAGCUCGUGUUGUGAAAUGUUGGGUUAAGUCCCGCAACGAGCGCAACCCUUAUCCUUUGUUGCCAGCGGUCCGGCCGGGAACUCAAAGGAGACUGCCAGUGAUAAACUGGAGGAAGGUGGGGAUGACGUCAAGUCAUCAUGGCCCUUACGACCAGGGCUACACACGUGCUACAAUGGCGCAUACAAAGAGAAGCGACCUCGCGAGAGCAAGCGGACCUCAUAAACUGCGUCGUAGUCCGGAUUGGAGUCUGCAACUCGACUCCAUGAAGUCGGAAUCGCUGUAAUCGUGGAUCAGAAUGCCACGGUGAAUACGUUCCCGGGCCUUGUACACACCGCCCGUCAAGACCAUGGGAANUGGUUUAUCCUUAAUNNANNUNA
rnacentral:rRNA from 1 species